rnacentral:rRNA from 1 species
GACAGAGGUGCCAAGCGUUAGGCGGAAUCACUGGGCUUAAAGCGUGUGUAGGCGGACUGGUAAGUACCUUGUGAAAUCCCACGGCUCAACCGUGGAACUGCUGGGUAUACUGCUUGUCUUGAGCCAGCUAGGGGCGAGCGGAACAGACGGUGGAGCGGUGAAAUGCGUAGAUAUCGUCUGGAACGCCGAAGGUGAAAACAGCUCGCUGGGGCUGCGCUGACGCUGAGACACGAAAGCCAGGGGAGCGAACGGG